rnacentral:rRNA from 1 species
CACGUAGGGGACGAGCGUUGUCCGGAUUCAUUGGGCGUAAAGCGCGCGUAGGCGGCCCGGAAAGUCGGAUGUGAAAACCUGGGGGCUCAACCCCAGGCGUGCACCCGAUACUCCCGGGCUGGAGGCAGGUAGGGGAGAUCGGAAUUCCUGGUGUAGCGGUGAAAUGCGCAGAUAUCGGGAGGAACACCGGUGGCGAAGGCGGUUCUCUGGGCCUUACCUGACGCUGA